GACGAACGCUGGCGGCGUGCUUAACACAUGCAAGUCGAACGGCAAGGCCCUGCUUUUGUGGGGUGCUCGAGUGGCGAACGGGUGAGUAACACGUGAGUAACCUGCCCUUGACUUUGGGAUAACUUCAGGAAACUGGGGCUAAUACAGGAUAGGAGCUCCUGUUGCAUUGUGGGGGUUGGAACGUUUCGGCGGUUGGGGAUGGACUGGCGGCUUAUCAGCUUGUUGGUGGGGUAGUGGCUUACCCAGGCUUUGACGGGUAGCCGGCCGUGGAGGGUGGCCGGCCACAUUGGGACUGAGAUACGGACCAGACUCCUACGGGAGACAACAGUGGGGAAUAUUGCACAGUGGGCGCAAGCCUGAUGCAGCAACGCCGCGUGCGGGAUGACGGCCUUCGGGGUGUAAACCGCUUUCGCCUGUGACGAAGCGUGAGUGACGGUAAUGGGUAAAGAAGCACCGGCUAACUACGUG
rnacentral:rRNA from 1 species